GCCUUAACUCUAGCCCUCCUUUUCCCCAUGAAACCUAAUACUGUUUUCACCCUUUAAAACAUUUUAUUCGCUUUAGUAAGGGAGACUAAAAAAUCAAUAGGCGCUUUAAACCAAGUACCGCAAGGGAAUGAUGAAAUAAAAAUGAAACAAUUUAUUAAGCAUAAUAUAGCAAAGACUAAAACUUGUACCUUUUGCAUCAUGGUCUAGCUAGUCUAACCAAGCAAAACGAAUCUUUCAGUUUGUCCCCCCGAAACUAAGCGAGCUACUUCAGAACAGCCUGUAGGGCCAACCCGUCUCUGUUGCAAAAGAGUGGGAAGAUUCUAAAGUAGAGGUGAUAUACCUACCGAGCUUAGAGAUAGCUGGUUUUUCAAGAAAAGAAUUUUAGUUCUGCCUUAAGCUUCUUAAUUCCUUAAAACAAUAAAUUAAGCUUAAGAGUUAUUCAAAUAAGGGACAGCUUAUUUGAACUAGGACACAACCUCAAACAUAGGGUAAUAUAGCCUUUAACGACAAAGUAGGCCUAAAAGCAGCCAUCUUCUAAAAAGCGUCAAAGCUUGGUCUAUUAAACUUCUCAAAUCCCACUUCCUACUCUUAACCCAUACCCAGUAUUGAAAGACUCCAUAAACUAUGGAAGCCAUCAUGCUAGAACUAGUAACAAGAAAUUGUAUUUCUCUAAAAUGCAUGCGUGAACCAAUAUGGACCCCCCAUUGGUGAUUAACGUUGCUGAGAUUAUUGUAUUAACUUCUUCUAGAAAACAAUACAACAAACAACGUAAACCUUACACUAGGGCAUUUAUAGAAAGAUUAAAAGAGUGAGAAGGAACUCGGCAAACUUUAGCCUCGCCUGUUUACCAAAAACAUCGCCUCUUGAUCUCCAUAAGAGGUCGGGCCUGCCCUGUGACUUUAGUUUAACGGCCGCGGUAUCCUAACCGUGCGAAGGUAGCAUAAUCAUUUGUCUUUUAAAUGGGGACCUGUAUCAACGGCAUAACGAAGGCUAUACUGUCUCCUCACUCCAAUCAGUGAAACUGAUCUCCCCGUGAAAAAGCAGGGAUAAAAUUAUUAGACGAGAAGACCCCAUGGAGCUUUAAGCCCGGCAACAACCUUCCCCCCUUACUCCUUUUUAAACCUAAAGAUCUUGCUUGCCACUUUAGGCUGGGGCGACCACGAAGUAUACUAAAACCUUCAUGAUAGACGGAAUUUUCUCCUUAUCCAUGAGCUACCCCUCUAAGAAUCAGCACACUGAUAUAAAAUGAUCCGAUUUAAUCGAUCAACGAACUAAGUUACCCUGGGGAUAACAGCGCAAUCCAUUUAAAGAGUUCAUAUCGACAAAUGGGUUUACGACCUCGAUGUUGGAUCAGGGUAUCCUAGUGGUGCAACCGCUACUAAAGGUUCGUUUGUUCAACGAUUAAAACCCUACGUGAUCUGAGUUCAGACCGGAGCAAUCCAGGUCGGUUUCUAUCUAUAAAGAGUUAUCCCCAGUACGAAAGGACCAGGAUAACGUGGCCCAUGCUUUUACAAGCCACAAAUAAACUAAUGAAACCAUCUCAAUUAGACUUAACUUUUAUAGUCCCAAAAACAAUGGU
rnacentral:rRNA from 1 species